rnacentral:lncRNA from 1 species
CAAUCAUCCUAUUAUUCUCUUUUCAGUAACUUACUUCAAGGAUAGGUUCCUUCAAGCUAAGGCUUCCAUAGCUAUAGUGCAUUUGAAAACCUCCAGGUUAAAUUAUCUCUGAGGUUCUAAGACUCAGGAUGCUAAUUCCACAGUCCAAACCAAACUGUUUUGCAUAGCAGGGACCAAACACCAUCUCUUUGGUUUUAGAGAAGAGAAAUCAACACAGUCUAUUUUGCCUGACUUGUGGAAAGAUGCUGAUGGAGCUAAGACCUGAGGAGCAUCCUUUGAUGAGUCUACUUAGACAUGAACUGCACCAAGAGCAACUCGAACCAAAGGACACAUCAACAAACGACAACAACACUUCUCAUCAGGGAGGAGCUGGUGUGAGUCAGACUUGCACAUUGCCAGGUAAAAAAUGUAGGCUGUGUUGA